rnacentral:rRNA from 1 species
AGAGUUUGAUCCUGGCUCAGAACGAACGCUGGCGGCGUGGAUAAGACAUGCAAGUUGAACGCGAUAUUUCCGGUAGCAAUAUUGGGAGUGUUGAGUAGCGCAAGGGUGCGUAACACGUGGGAAUCUACCCUGAAGUUGGGGAUAACUCGCUGAAAGGCGAGCUAAUACCGAAUGUGACCGAGAGGUCAAAGCUGGGGACCGCAAGGCCUGGCGCUUCUGGAUGAGCCCGCGGCCUAUCAGCUAGUUGGUGAGGUAAAGGCUCACCAAGGCGAAGACGGGUAGCUGGUCUGAGAGGACGACCAGCCACACUGGAACUGAGACACGGUCCAGACACCUACGGGUGGCAGCAGUCGAGAAUUUUUCUCAAUGGGCGCAAGCCUGAAGGAGCGACGCCGCGUGGGGGAUGAAGGGUUUCGAUCCGUAAACCCCUGUCAUUCGUGAACAAUGGUGAUGAUUUAAAAGAUGAUCACUUGAUAGUAACGGAAGAGGAAGGGACGGCUAACUCUGUGCCAGCAGCCGCGGUAAUUC